CCUGAGAAACCCAAAAGAUCGAAUGGGGAGAUUCAUCGUCAGCGAUCCUGGCGCGUGUGCGGUUCGUGAUGCUCGAGAUUUCGGUCUCGUGGCACGCGUCCGCAUGGUUUAAUUUGCUAGGUGUCGUCGGCGUGCACUUCUCCCCUAGUAGGACGUCGCGACCCGUUGGGUGUCGGUCUACGGCCCGGGUGGGCGCCUGUCACAUGUCACGCUUAACGGCGUCGUUCACGUGGCAGACCCCCGGUUGUCUGGCCGGCUGCUCGGCGGUACUCGCACGGUAUCGGGCCGCAAAUAUCGAACUGCGUCCGGCCCAUCGCAAGCGGGGUCAGUGUUUUCCGGAUGUACGGACUUAGCGCCGUCACCGGGCCUGGCCAGCUGUUGGUCGAUGGUGCUCCUGGGACUGGCUCUAAAAUAAUGAUGAAUACCGGUCAGCGACGCUACUGCUUUGGGUACUUUCAGGACCCGUCUUGAAACACGGACCAAGGAGUCUAACAUGUGCGCGAGUCAUUGGGAACUAUUAAGCCUAAAGGCGCAAUGAAAGUGAAGGUCGGCCUUGCGCAAACCGAGGGAGGAUGGGCCGCGUCACGAUGCGGUCCCGCACUCCCGGGGCGUCUCGUUCUCAUUGCGAGAAGAGGCGCACCCAGAG
rnacentral:rRNA from 1 species